rnacentral:rRNA from 1 species
UACGUAGGGGGCAAGCGUUACUCGGAAUUAUUGGGCGUAAAGGGCGCGUAGGCGAUCCUGCAAGUCUCGUGUGAAAGCCCAGAGCCUAACUCUGGAAGGGCACGAGAUACUGAAGGAUUUGAGUUCCGGAGAGGAAGAUGGAAUUCCCGGUGUAGCGGUGAAAUGCGUAGAGAUCGGGAGGAAGGCCGGUGGCGAAGGCGGCGCUCUGGAACGUUUCUGACGCUGAGGCUCGAAAGCGUGGGGAGCAAACAGG